GAGCCCCGCCCGACCACUCCACCGAGCACGAGGAGCUCCCGUUCCCCUCCAUUGCCGCCAUGGCCGUCGGCAUCCUCCUCCUAAAUCCGCUCAAUGCAGAGCUCCCCUCCACCUCCUUCCCCCACCAUAAGGCCACCCGGAGCCCUGCGGGUCUCCCCAUACCCCCAGCCCCUCGUCUACGCCAUGAUAGCCACCCUCUCAUCGCCUUAGUCACCACUGUCCGCCGUGGGAGUCACGGCCCCGCACUCUCUGCUGCUUACCGGCGGUAGUGGACCCUUAGGCGGGAGCGUCUCAUCGCCCUCGUCACUCAAGUGGCCGGAGCGCCGCCUGAGGUGGCCGGUGGCGCCGGGACGGGCGCCGGCCGUGCUCACCUGAGCCCUCUGCCGCUACUUGUCGAGAGGAAGAAGACACCGCGAGGAGAGACGGAGCAGCCCCGAUGAGACCUGCCUGUCAGUUUCUCACCGUUGACCAGCCCCGGGCCCGCGCCAAGUUAAGUGGAGACGUACUCCUCGUAGUACGGUUUCCCUUACCGAAAACGUCUUUUGGUCUUUUCUCCAAGUCAAAAUACGUUUUCUUCUCCGGAAAGUGUAUUUCCUUUGUACUACGGCUGAAAAUGCGUUUUCUCUGCUUUGAAGGCGUAUUCCACUAAAUGUGUUUUCUGUUUUUCAGUCAGGGGCCUGUUUGUGAAGUUUCUUUUACAGAUUGGUCCCUAGUGUUCAAACGUCUAUAGCUCCGCGACCGUGACUCCGAUUCAGCCCCCUUCGAGAGAGAAGUGUUUCCGACGAUUCUUUCCGCAGCUUCACCACACUUCUUCCCGGUGUACCCUUCCUCUUCAGGCAAGCCACGACAGCCACUUGCAUGAUGGCCAUGCAAUAGCCAUGGUUUUCAACUUGAAUAUUUAAAUAUUGUGUGCAUGUUAAUAUUCUUGUGAACACUUUAUAUGCUUGUGAAUUGGUACAUACUUUGAUA